AUGUCUGAAACCAGGACUAGGCAGCAAAGGCAUCUCAUCCUAGAGAAUAAGAAAGUGCUCAGAAGGAGAGAGCUCUAUCACCGUGACACAAGAGCCAGUUUGAUGGGACAUCUGUUGGCCAAACUGGGAAUUUGAGCGUCACAAUUAAAAAUGGCCCCGGUGUGCGUUCUCAGCAAACUAUCGCAAGAACAAAAAACCAAACAUCACAUGUUCUCACUCACAGGUGGGAAUUGAACGAUGAGAACACCUGGACUCGGGAAGAAAUUUUUUAAUUAAAAAAUUUGGUUGAACGUUUUUCUUGUUAAAUGAUGUUUAAAAAAUGAAAACAAAGUUCUUGGCUUAGUAAAAUAAAUAAAUAAAUAAAUAAAUAAGCACAGAUCAGAGAAAUAGAGGAAAAUGUAUGUAAUGAAAACAUCCUGAAUCUUGACUGUGGCAAUAGUCUCACUGGUGUAUACAUACGUAUGUCAAAAUUCAUCCAAUUUACAUUUUGAGAGGGUUCAAUUUAUUGUACAGUAAUUAUACCUCAAUAAAUUAUUUUUAAAAGUGCACAAAUCUUGAAU
rnacentral:lncRNA from 10 species